UACGUAGGGUGCGAGCGUUGUCCGGAAUUAUUGGGCGUAAAGGGCUCGUAGGCGGUCUGUCGCGUCGGGAGUGAAAACUCAGGGCUUAACCCUGAGCCUGCUUCCGAUACGGGCAGACUAGAGGUAUGCAGGGGAGAACGGAAUUCCUGGUGUAGCGGUGGAAUGCGCAGAUAUCAGGAAGAACACCAAUGGCGAAGGCAGCUCUCUGGGACGGUACUGACGCUGAGACGCGAAAGCGUGGGGAGCGAACAGG
rnacentral:rRNA from 1 species